UGACAUAUAAAGGAUGAGAAAAUUUUGCAGUUAAAAAUAAGAAGAAAAAAAUCGACGAAAAAUCCCGUCGAGUGUGAGGAGAGGAGCCAGCACUGGGCAAGCAUGGCUACCUUCCUAUCUCGUACCGGUCGAAUGAGAGACGAGAACAGAUAGCACGAACGCCGCGGCGCCGAGAUGGGAGCCUCGUCCUUGCCAAUGCUAGACGCCUCCCGCUUCCUCUCCCCACCGCUGCCGGCGCCGACGUGUCCCCGGCGGACCCUCCCCUGCGUCCGUGCGGCCUCCCAGACACUGGAAGCACCGGAGGCGUCCAAGCCCCCGAGGCCGUCCCCCAGGCGCAGCGCCGUCGCCGAGGUUAAGACCUCCUCCGACCCCGUCGCCGCCCUCACCAGGUUUGAGGAUGUGCUGCAGACACAGGACUGCAACAUAAUCUUGCGCCACUGUGGAGACAACAGGCGCUGGGAUGAGCUCUCUAAGGUUUUCGAGUGGAUGCAGGAGCGUGAGAUGACCAACGCCGCGUCGUACAGCGGUUACUUCAAGUACCUCGGAUUGAGCCGUAACCCCGCGAGGGCACUGCAAGUGUACGGUGCCAUCCAAGAUCGCUCGACGAGGGUCCAUGUCUCCGUCUGUAAUUCGGUUCUUGGAUGCUUGGUGAAGAAUGGGAGGUUUGACAGCAGUUUCAAGCUCUAUGAUGAGAUGAUACGCGAAGGUCUAUCACCUGAUCCAUUCACCUACAGUACCCUGCUAUCUGGGUGCAUGAAGUUGAAGCAGGGCUACGCUAAGGCAAUGGGAUUGAUCAAUGAUCUGAAUUCCCAGGGUCUUCAGAUGGAUAGUGUAAUAUAUGGCACUCUUCUUGCAGUAUGUGCGUCUCAUAACUACUGUGAGGAGGCUGAAGUAUACUUCCAGAAAAUGAAGGAUGAAGGCCAUAAUCCUAAUCUGUUCCAUUACAGCUCCCUGUUGAAUGCAUAUUCAGAAAAUGCUAAUUACAAAAAAGCUGAGUUGUUGAUGAAAGAUCUGAGGUCCUCUGGAUUAAAACCAAACAAGGUUAUAUUGACCACUUUGUUAAAGGUAUAUUCUAAAGGUGGUCUCUUUGAGAAAGCUAAGGAGCUGCUAACUGAGCUGGAAGCCUCAGGCUUUGCACAGGAUGAGAUGCCAUACAGCAUAUUGAUUGAUGGCCUUGUCAAAGGUGGAAAGAUACAGGAAGCGACAAUGCUAUUUAAUGAAAUGAAAGAAAAAGGUGUCAAAUCUGAUGGUUAUGCAUUUAGUAUCAUGAUUUCAGCAUUACACAGAGGUGGUCAUCGCCAAGAAUCAAAACAACUUGCAAAAGAAUUUGAGGCCGAGAAUGCAACAUAUGAUCUGGUUAUGCUUAAUACAUCACUGCGUGCUUACUGCAGCACAAAUGAUAUGGAGAGUGUAACGAGUAUGCUAAAGAAAAUGGAUGAAUUGAACAUAUCACCUGAUAAUAUUACGUUUAAUACCUUGAUUAGGUACUUCGGCAACGCAAAGGUCUAUCACCUAGCGUACAAAACGAUUGAAGAUAUGCAUACAAAGGGUCAUCAAUUAAACGAGGAGCUUUGUUCUCAUGUAAUGGUACAGCUAGGGAAAGCAGGUUUUCCUUCUGAAGCAUUCUCUGUAUAUAACAUGUUGAGAUACAGUAAGAGAACAGUGCAUAAAUCUCUUCAUGAGAAGGCUUUAGGUAUCUUAGUUCCAGCAGGACUUCUCAAGGAUGCAUAUAUAGUUGUUAAGGACAAUGCUGAGCUGAUAUCUCCUCCCUCUUUGGAGAAGUUUGCUAGGUCUUUCAUGGCAUCAGGCAACAUAAAUCUAAUUAAUGAUGUCAUGAAAGCCCUAAACCGCUCCAGGUGGCGUAUCAGCCAGGAUAUCUUUGGCAGAGCAAUUCAGAGAUACAUCCGAAAGCCUGAUAAGAAGCAGCUACUGUUAUGCCUCUUGGACUGGAUGACUGGACAAGGCUAUUCCGUAGACUCAUCAUCAAGAAACUUGCUUCUGAAGAAUGCACAAAUUUUUGGCCAAAAACAACUUAUAGCAGAAGUCCUUUCUAAGCAGCAGGCAGUGUCAAGGACCAUUGGCCAAAGACACAAAAAAUGAUGUGGUAUGAUUUAGUAUAUCUAAAUUGUUCAUAAUGAUCCAAGAACGUCCUGUGAUUAGCCACAGUGCUCAGAUGGUUCGGUCAGAUGACAAGGUAUCAGUUAUCACCCUCAUGUGUGGAUAUGCCCAGUUUGCAACCAACUUCCAUUAGAAUUUCAGAUAAUGGUUUAUGGAACUUUUCAACGACACAUGCAUCUUCCACUGAGAAGUAGAGCUACAGCUGGGUGUGAAGAUGGUAUAGGCAAUGCUUGAUUGUCCGAGAGGCAUGUCAGUAAGUUUCCGUUACAUUUCUUUACAGCUGCAGCAGAGAGAAUGUUGAUUUGAUUUCAGUUAAUUUUGCAGUUGGCAUUAAACCUUGUUGAAGCCACUGUACAUAGAUCUGGAAAGCAGAACACAUAUGUAUUUAUUUUUACAUUUGUACAUAGUUUUGUAAUUCUUGAACAUUGGAAGAACAGUUUCGUGGGCAAUGAAUGUAAUGGGGUUACCAAACAUGCCAAUGGAGUUCAAAGGAUUUUCUGUUAUACAACUACUAUUACGUUAACUCACAUUAAACAUUGUUACUCUUUGGUGUC